rnacentral:rRNA from 1 species
UCCUACGGGAGGCAGCAGUGGGGAAUCUUGGACAAUGGGGGCAACCCUGAUCCAGCCAUGCCGCGUGAGUGAAGAAGGUCUUCGGAUUGUAAAGCUCUUUUGCCAGGGACGAUAAUGACGGUACCUGGAGAAUAAGCCCCGGCAAACUUCGUGCCAGCAGCCGCGGUAAU